UGACGUAGGUUUAGAGCCAAAACAGAGCCACUUCUGUUGCGGACACAAAUCUGUGACCUCAGACAGCAAGCUGCCGUGACCCUUGCUGCCGUUAUCACGGAUUGGAUCGUUUAGUACAGCGAAUAAGCGACCGUACAAAUAACGAAGUAACGAAUAACGCGUCUGUCACCUACUUAUCACCUGUCUCCAGCUCCACCCAUUCUAUAGGUAGCCUAAUCAUCGCGAGAUUUCACUGACGGGGUUCGGUCAGAAUCUCGUGUCGGCGGAGAAAGUGAAGUUUUGAUGUGGAAAACCAAAACGAAUGUGAUCGACGCCCUUUAAGCAGCUAUGAGCCAACCGUCCAGAAACCAUCGUCCGCAGAGAGAGAGAAACGGGGGACCCUAUAGUGAGAGGCGAGACAGAGAGCCCCGCAGCCGACGGGACAGUCCCAGUGACCGACGAUCAGCCAGUGAGGGUUCAUCUGGCCAGCCCCCGUACUACCCCAGAGGUUCUCAGAGACAUGUGAGGAGCGAUCCUCGAGAGGAGCGCCGGGAGUCAAAGUGCUCUUACAUCUGUUCCAGGA